AUCCGGUACUCGUUAAGGCUGAGCUGUGAUGGGGAGAAGACAUUGUGUCUUCGAGUCGUUGAUUUCACACUGCCGAGAAAAGCCUCUAGAUAGAAAAUAGGUGCCCGUACCGCAAACCGACACAGGUAGUCAAGAUGAGAAUUCUAAGGUGAGCGAGCGAACUCUCGUUAAGGAACUCGGCAAAAUGACCCCGUAACUUCGGGAGAAGGGGUGCUCUUUAGGGUUAACGCCCAGAAGAGCCGCAGUGAAUAGGCCCAAGCGACUGUUUAUCAAAAACACAGGUCUCUGCUAAACCGUAAGGUGAUGUAUAGGGGCUGACGCCUGCCCGG
rnacentral:rRNA from 1 species